rnacentral:rRNA from 1 species
AACGAACGCUGGCGGCAGGCUUAACACAUGCAAGUCGAACGGGUGUCGCAAGACAUCAGUGGCAGACGGGUGAGUAACACGUGGGAACCUUCCUAGGGGUACGGAACAACUCAGGGAAACUUGAGCUAAUACCGUAUACGUCCGUAAGGAGAAAGAUUCAUCGCCCCUAGACGGGCCCGCGUCGGAUUAGCUAGUUGGUGGGGUAACGGCCUACCAAGGCGACGAUCCGUAGCUGAUCUGAGAGGAUGAUCAGCCACACUGGGACUGAGACACGGCCCAGACUCCUACGGGAGGCAGCAGUGGGGAAUCUUGCGCAAUGGGCGAAAGCCUGACGCAGCGACGCCGCGUGAGGGAUGACGGCCU